CAAAGUGGGGGACCUUCGGGCCUCAUGCCAUCAGAUGUGCCCAGAUGGGAUUAGCUAGUAGGUGGGGUAACGGCUCACCUAGGCGACGAUCCCUAGCUGGUCUGAGAGGAUGACCAGCCACACUGGAACUGAGACACGGUCCAGACUCCUACGGGAGGCAGCAGUGGGGAAUAUUGCACAAUGGGCGCAAGCCUGAUGCAGCCAUGCCGCGUGUAUGAAGAAGGCCUUCGGGUUGUAAAGUACUUUCAGCGGGGAGGAAGGCGAUAAGGUUAAUAACCUUGUCGAUUGACGUUACCCGCAGAAGAAGCACCGGCUAACUCCGUGCCAGCAGCCGCGGUAAUACGGAGGGUGCAAGCGUUAAUCGGAAUUACUGGGCGUAAAGCGCACGCAGGCGGUCUGUCAAGUCGGAUGUGAAAUCCCCGGGCUCAACCUGGGAACUGCAUUCGAAACUGGCAGGCUAGAGUCUUGUAGAGGGGGGUAGAAUUCCAGGUGUAGCGGUGAAAUGCGUAGAGAUCUGGAGGAAUACCGGUGGCGAAGGCGGCCCCCUGGACAAAGACUGACGCUCAGGUGCGAAAGCGUGGGGAGCAAACAGGAUUAGAUACCCUGGUAGUCCACGCCGUAAACGAUGUCGAUUUGGAGGUUGUGCCCUUGAGGCGUGGCUUCCGGAGCUAACGCGUUAAAUCGACCGCCUGGGGAGUACGGCCGCAAGGUUAAAACUCAAAUGAAUUGACGGGGGCCCGCACAAGCGGUGGAGCAUGUGGUUUAAUUCGAUGCAACGCGAAGAACCUUACCUGGUCUUGACAUCCACAGAACUUAGCAGAGAUGCUUUGGUGCCUUCGGGAACUGUGAGACAGGUGCUGCAUGGCUGUCGUCAGCUCGUGUUGUGAAAUGUUGGGUUAAGUCCCGCAACGAGCGCAACCCUUAUCCUUUGUUGCCAGCGGUUCGGCCGGGAACUCAAAGGAGACUGCCAGUGAUAAACUGGAGGAAGGUGGGGAUGACGUCAAGUCAUCAUGCCCUUACGACCAGGGCUACACACGUGCUACAAUGGCAUAUACAAAGAGAAGCGACCUCGCGAGAGCAAGCGGACCUCAUAAAGUAUGUCGUAGUCCGG
rnacentral:rRNA from 1 species